rnacentral:tRNA from 1 species
GGGGAUAUAGUAUAAUUGGUAAGUAUACCAUCUUUGCAGGAUGGCUUGGUGCCAGUUCAAGUCUGGCUGUCUCCA